rnacentral:rRNA from 1 species
GUGAACGCUGGCGGUAGGCCUAACACAUGCAAGUCGAACGGCAGCACAGUAAGAGCUUGCUCUUACGGGUGGCGAGUGGCGGACGGGUGAGGAAUACAUCGGAAUCUACUUUUUCGUGGGGGAUAACGUAGGGAAACUUACGCUAAUACCGCAUACGACCUACGGGUGAAAGCAGGGGAUCUUCGGACCUUGCGCGAUUGAAUGAGCCGAUGUCGGAUUAGCUAGUUGGCGGGGUAAAGGCCCACCAAGGCGAGGAUCCGUAGCUGGUCUGAGAGGAUGAUCAGCCACACUGGAACUGAGACACGGUCCAGACUCCUGCGGGAGGCAGCAGUGGGGAAUAUUGGACAAUGGGCGCAAGCCUGAUCCAGCCAUACCGCGUGGGUGAAGAAGGCCUUCGGGUUGUAAAGCCCUUUUGUUGGGAAAGAAAAGCAGCAGGUUAAUACCCCGCUGUUCUGACGGUACCCAAAGAAUAAGCACCGGCUAACUUCGUG